rnacentral:lncRNA from 1 species
AACUGAUUUUAUGUUAAAAACAGACUUUUCUACUUUAUUAAAGAGUCAUUGCCGCCAGUGCAUCUUUAUAGUCCAUCAGACCUACAUGCUUGUGUUAUAAGAGAAAGUUCCAAGCUCUUAAUGAGGAAGUGUGACAUAGUGUGAAUCUGUGUCUAGCUAUCUAUGGAAAUUUCACUAAUAGAAAUUUUAAAAAAUGAAAGAAGUUCGACUGGUCUUCUGUACGGAGGAAUUGACAAGGUAAUAAUGGCAGUUGUGUAG